rnacentral:rRNA from 1 species
AUUUUUUUGUUAUAUAUUAAAAGUAAGGCCUGCCCAAUGAUUUUAAUUAAAUGGCUGCAGUAUUUUAACUGUACUAAGGUAGCAUAAUCAUUUGUUUAAUAAUUUUAGACUAGAAUGAAUGGUUUUAUGAAAAUAAAUCUUUCUUUUUAUUAAUAAUAAAAAUUUAUUUUAUCAAUUAAAAAAUUGAUAUAAAUUUAUAGGACGAGAAGACCCUAUAGAACUUUAUAUAUAAAAUCAAUAAUUAUUAAUUUUAUAUAUUAUAUUGGGGAGGUAGAAAUUUUUUUUUAACAAUUUUUUUUAAAAUCAUAAAUUUAUGAAUUUUUUGAUCCAAUCAAUAUUGAUUAUAAGAAUAAGUUACCUUAGGGAUAACAGCGUAAUUUAAUUGGAAAGUUCAUAUUUAUAAUUAGAGUUUGCGA